UACGAAGGGGGCUAGCGUUGCUCGGAAUCACUGGGCGUAAAGCGCACGUAGGCGGAUUGCUAAGUCAGGGGUGAAAUCCUGGAGCUCAACUCCAGAACUGCCUUUGAUACUGGCGAUCUCGAGUCCGGGAGAGGUGAGUGGAACUGCGAGUGUAGAGGUGAAAUUCGUAGAUAUUCGCAAGAACACCAGUGGCGAAGGCGGCUCACUGGCCCGUUACUGACGCUGAGGCACGAAGGUCAGGGGAGCAAACGGG
rnacentral:rRNA from 1 species